rnacentral:rRNA from 1 species
UUUAGGGUGGUUAUAGCGGUGGGGCUCACCUGUUCCCAUUCCGAACACAGAAGUUAAGCCCACCAGCGCCGAUGGUACUGCUAACGCGGGAGAGUAGGUCGCCGCCAGUU